UACGGACUGUGCAAACGUUAUUCGGAAUCACUGGGCUUAAAGAGUCCGUAGGCGGCUUGUUAGGUGAGGUGUGAAAUCCCUCGGCCCAACCGAGGAAUUGCGCUUCAAACCGGCAAGCUAGAGGAGGAUAGAGGUGGGCGGAACUGAUGGUGGAGCGGUGAAAUGCGUUGAUAUCAUCAGGAACACCGGAGGCGAAGGCGGUCCACUGGGUCCUUUCUGACGCUGAGGGACGAAAGCUAGGGGAGCGAACGGG
rnacentral:rRNA from 1 species